rnacentral:lncRNA from 1 species
CCAAAUUUUAUGUGGAGAAUCCUUACAGCAAACUCUACAAUCCUAACGGUGUUGAUCUGCAGUUUACCCUCUCUAAGGUACUUUCCUGCGAUAUCCACUCUGUGAGACCUAGAAUUCUCUUUUGAAGAGAUCCAUCCUACGUGAUGAAGAUAUGCUAUCCUUGAGCCAAGAUCUAUGUUCUUGAUGUUAUUCUGAUCCUCUAGUUAUUCUAGAGAAGACCUACUGUAAACCUGUUAUCAUUAUUAUUGAUAGUGAAAGUUUGAGUAGGACUACGGUCCCGUGGUUUUUCCCACAUUGGGUUUUCCACGUUAAAAAGAUUUGGUCUCACUGUGUGAUUGAUUUAUUGCUCUAUUGUUUAUGUUGUGCUGAUUGAUAUUAGCAUUUUGAUAUCAAGUUGGUAUUUUGAUGAGGAACCUAUUUUGAUACACAAAGAGGGAAAAGAAUUAUUCCGCAUUAACAGGUUUCUUCCCGACAUAAAGUUGGCAUAAAAAUGCCAAUCGGUGCAUCUAAGUUGAAUAGCUCGGCUGAUAAGAAUGCGAAAACAAGGUCCAUAGAAAUGAAUAAAAGGUGACUUCUUUAUUCUUUCUCCUUUCUGAUUCGAUUGCCAACUUUUGUUUUGCUUCUUGCUUGCUUGCUUGCUUGCUUGCUUGCUUUCGCGCACCUUGGAUAAACCUUGGAUCAACAUCCUCGCUGACGCAGCAGUUAUCGCAUAUGAAGCAAAGGCCUAAAGUUAUUUCGCCCAACGCCAUGCAUGGGGUUGCAUAUGAAACAUGCGAUCGUCCUUCAACAGCACGUAGCGCGCAUGUGUUUUGGAGGGGCAGAUACAUGCAUUAUAUACAGCGUCAAAUUGAGCACCACCAAGCACAAACACAAUCCUUCUUAUCGCACCAACACCCACAUAAUCCUUCUUCCCUGUCAUAACCAUGGCACAAAUCAGUGGCACUGAGAGUCCAUCAUGGGCGGACCUCCUGGGACUCAACCACUGGUCCGGCCUUCUCGACCCCCUCGACGACACCCUCCGCGACCUUUUAGAUCUUAUUACAUAAUCAAUCUUAGCUAAUUAAUACUUUUUUUUAAUGAAUUUCAUACUUCUAUUUCAUCAUUUAGAUCUUCUAAUAAUACUAAUUUAUAAAUAUUCAUUAAGAUUAUUCAGGUUUCUCUUUCAUCCUCCUUGAAAAAUCAGCCAAGAAUAUUUUCAUCUGACAUAUGAAUGAAUUGUUUAAAUCUCAAAUAUUAUGCUUCAGCAUUUGUUACCUCUUUAAAUUCCUCAAAACCAAAGGUUAACACCUUCUGAUCCAAGUAAGGAUCUUUUAUCUUAACCAUUCACGUCUAAUAAUUCAAAUCCUAUCAAAUCCUGUUCAGAUACAAUAUGCAUUUUUAUUGUCGAAAAAAAUAAACAAAAAUACACACUGCCAUCAUGCUGACGUCACCCAAUCAAAUCAAAUCGGUUCAUAGCCGGGCCCGGUUUUUUUUUUACAUUUGGUCACAAAAACGGUCCAGUGUUUCGUGCGUACGUUAUACAUAUGGGGCCGCUAAAAACAGUACCGGAGCCACGACGCAAGGUACGACUCGAGCGGACGCUCUGCCCUCUCCCAGAAAGGUCACCACUUACGUCACGCUAUUACCGGACAAAGGAAGUGCACGCAUGUGUUUCUCCUUUCUUCUUCUUCUUCUUCUUCUUCUCUCUCCUCCCUCUAAGAGCCCUCCUUCCUCCUACUUCUGGAUCCGUCCAAACUAAAUAAGGACAGCCAUGUACUCUGCUGACACAGCAUCGCAAAACCGAAGCAAGAUCCCAGUUUGCUUCCUCCACCACGUUGCACGAUUAAUUCAUGAGGUUGCAUAGUAUCAAACGAUUGGCAUUACAGUACGUCUUCACUCUUGAAUCCUCAUCCGGAUUAGAACCUAACAUGGCAUUGCAUGACACACAUGUGUUUCAUGCAUAUGGACGCACAGGCAGAUGCAUCGAUAUAUAUAGUCUUCGCCACCAGGCACCUCGCAUCCCAAACACAGUCGAUCCCACCAUCUCCUGUUGUCCUACCAAAACCUAAAACUGGUCCUCUCUCCUUGUGUCGCAAAACAUGGGGCACAAUGCUGACAGUGAGAACCCAUCGUGGGCGGAGCUCCUGGGAUCAAAUCACUGGGCCGGCCUUCUCGACCCCCUCGACUACUCCCUCCGCUGCCUCCUCCUGAAAUUUGGCGACGUGUGUCAGGUCACCACCGACUCCUACAUCACGGCCCUUGACUCCAAGAAGUACAGCGGCAAUUGCAGCUACAGCAUGGACAGGCUCCUCGACCAGACCUUCUUUACCUACGCUGCUGACUACCACGUCGUCCAAUACCUCAUUGCCAAUUCGCAGGGUUGGAUGGGCUAUGUAGCGGUCUCCAACAGCGCUCACGCCGACGGAUCCGGAGUCCGCGAGAUCUACGUCGUAUGGCGCGGGACCGAAGGAACCAAAGAGUGGUGCGACGAUAUCCCCAAAACUCUCGUGCCGUUCGACGACUCCACCAGCGAUGUUCCGAUGGUCAUGAAAGGCUGGUUUGAGAUCUACACCGUGGUAGCCGACGUGCAGACGAAGGAGAGCGCCAGGGAGCAGCUACUAGCUAAGAUAAAAGAGCUGGUGGAGCAGUACAAAGACGAGAGCCUCAGCAUAGUUUGUCUCGGCCACAGCCUGGGAGGCGCCCUUGCUAUCUUAAGCGCUUACGAUAUAGUGAGGAGUGGGUUGUCUAAGAUCGGGGAGAAAGAGGAGUUCCCCGUUUGCACCAUGGUGUUUGGUUCACCGCGAGCGGGGAAUCAGGCCUUCAGCGAUAGCUGGGCGAAGCUGCCCAAUCUGAGAGCUCUGCGUGUCUUGAACAAAGAUGAUCUUGACAUUCCAAACUUUCCGCCAACUUCAGAUGGCUACGUUGACAUUGGCACGGUUCUGACCGUGGAUUCCAGAAAGUCGCCGUGCUUGAAGACAAAUCAUGACAGGCAUAACUUGCAGGUGAACCUGCACACGGUGGCCGGGUGGACCGGGGAGAACGGCGACUUCGACUGCACCAUCGUGAAGAGGAGCCUUGCGCUGGUGAACAAGCACGGUGGCUAUCUGAGUAUAAACCCGGCGCUGCAGUCGUGGUGGGCGGAGAAGAACAAAAGGAUGGUGCGUGGCGAGGACGGCUUGUGGUCUGAGUUACCGCCCGAGUCCUAGUUGAAGGGUCAAACGUCGCAUGACGAUGGAGCUGCAGGUCAUCUGAUCGAGGCAUGCACGCAUGUGGCGGAUGCCUCCUCGUCGUCGUCGUCGUCGUCGUCGUCGUCUUGUCACUUGUCAGUUGGUGUGAUGUGUUCCGUGUGUGGGCGUCGUAAUAAGUAGUCCGAAGCCUCCUCUACGCCAUAAAUCGGACAACUUCUCGCUUGCUUUAUCCGAUCAUAAAUAUAAAUUUGUCAUAUCAUGGUUUAUACAAUCCAGUCAACGUUUCGCAUUACACAUUUUGAAAAUUUUCUUUAAAAUAUGAUGGGAUUUAACGAAGCAUAGAUUAUAAAUGAAGAAGGGAGUCGAUUCAAAACUAAAAAUUUUUAUUAAACACAAUAACUUAUAAAACUUCUACCUUCAUCUCUUUUUUCUUCUUAAAUCGGGUCAAUCCAACCAAAUCUAUGAUUUCAACUCACAUAAAGAUUAGAUAAAGUUCAAUUUAAUAUUCCAAUAUAAAACAAAUUCAUGUGCCUGCUCCGACCAUAGCAUCUCAAGAAAACAAAACGGCCUAUCAUAUCAGACCAAAGAGAGGCAAAAAGAAGUCCCAAUCCUUUUAUGUCAUACUCCUUGCAAAAAAGAAAAAAAAGAAAUAUCAAUCAGAAGAAAACUCUUCGCCAACAUCAGUGUGCAAUCUUUUAAUUUUUCUUUGAAAGAACUUUGAACCGUUAACUUGAACUCUUAAAAUUAAAAAAAUUAAUUUUUUCAUAAAAUAAACCCAAGUAAACCUUGUAAAAUCAUCAACGGAGAUAAGCAUAUAACGAGAACAUAAAUAAGAUGGUGUUUGAGUAGAGUCUAUUAAAUCGCUAUGAAUAAGCUCCAAUGAAAAUUUAUAUUUUGAAAGUGAUAUAUCAAAAGGGUGUUUGUGUGCUUUGCUAUUGACACCGUUAAUAAACUUCAUUACCACUAAAAGUAGUAAGAUCGAGAAGACCAUUCAUUAAAUUUUUCUACAUCAUAAUCUUUAAUUUUAAAAAAAUUAUAUGACCAAGUCUAGCAUACCAGAUCGAUGCACUAUCAUUUGUACUCAUCUUAUCAACAUAAGUAGUUGACGUCAACAAAACAUGUAAAUCUUUGACCCUUUUACCAUAAUAUACUAUAUGUGCAUCUAAUUCUUUUAUAUUAUAAAGAAUCUUGACUUUAUUAGGAUAAAAAAGAAUAAAAUUUAUAUCAUCAACUGCAUUUGCAAUAGAGAAGAGAUUUUUCUUCGUACUUGGAAUAUGGUACACACUCUUCAUUGUAGUAGGAUCAUUAUCUUUAUUUGAGAUUAUAAUAAUACCAUUAUUUUUCAUUUGGUGAAUAUUAUUAUUUGUCAUUGUAAUUAUAUAUUUACCUUCAUAUUGAUGAAUAUUAGUGAAUUUGGUACUAUCACCAGCGAAAUAAUGAUCACAUCCUGAAUCAACAAUCUAGUCAUUUUCAAAAUUGAUAGAUGUCAUUGCCUUACUAAUUUCAACCAUAAAACAUUUGUCCCAAUUUUCAGCAUUAGAACAAUCUUCUUUAUUUGCAAUAUUUCUUUUUUGAAUCUUCACACAGAUAGUUUUUCUUGAUAUGGCCUAACUUGUCACACCUAUAAUACUUGAUCUUCUUUCGAUUUGCACAAUUAUUUGAAGAAGACUCUUGCUUACUUACCAUCAUUCUUCUUCUUUUUAUUGUUAUCAUUACCCUUUUUCUUAUUUAUAAAAAGGGCAUCUCCAUCUCCCCUCUGAAAUAGAAGUUCCUAUCGUUUGACGAGCUAGGGAUUCCUAAGAAGUAAGAAGAUUUUUCAAUUGUACUAAAAAUGAUUGUUGAACCCAUCCUUGAAUCGAUGUAACAUAAAAAAUAUAUUCUAUUCGAAUACCAUGAAUAAUAUAAUGUUUCAUUCGUACAUCGCACAUCUAGAUCUAAGAGUGAUAUCAUUGAACAUAAAUUUUUAAUCUUAAAAAAAUACUAAGAAAUUAAGAUGUUAUGUUGGAUAGUAUUUGUUAAAUCAUUCUUCAAAUACUAAAGCUAAGUGAUAUUUUUUUUUAUUGAGCAAUGCAUCAAGAGUGAUCCUCUUUAAAGUUGAUUUACAUCGAAUAAUAUGUUCAAAGAGAUCAUGGGAAAUAUAUAUAUAUAUAUAUAUAUAUAUAUAUAUAUAUAUAUAUAUAUAUAAUAUAAAUUCAACCUUUUUAUUUAAAAUCCUCCAUCUUUUCAUGACGUCUCCAUUUGCAAUAUCGGGUACUGUUGUUGUAUUGCCACCAAUCACAUCUCAUAGAUCUUCUUGAGAUAAAGACUCCAAACAAGUCUUCUAGAUCUUAUAGUUACACUUAUUGAUAAGUUCAAUACCAAAUUCAUCAACUCAACUAUAAUUUUUUAUAGUUGAAAAAGAUUAUUUUCUUUACUAAGAAGAGCUUGAAAUACAUAUUAUCACUCUUGUGGCUUUGAUAUCAUGUAAAGAAAAAGAGAAUCACAUGUAAGUAUAACCUUUUCUCAAAUAGUAGUAACAAGAUACUAAUAGCCCAAAAUCGUAGUAACAAGGUACUAAUAGCCUAAAAUCAAAUCAAAUAAAAAAAGAUGCCACCUAUUUAUGGAUAUAAAAUACAAAGAAUCCUUAAUCCCUAUAACUCUACCAUCUAUUUAUGGAUAUAAAGUACAAGAAUCCUUAAUCUCUAUAACUCUAGCUAAUAUUAUUUGAAAUCUUCUAAAAUUUAUUUUGAACUAAGAAUUCCUUAUCCUUAAAAUUUUAUAUAAUUUUAUUUAAAAUAUAAAAAUAUUAAUUUAUAAUGUUUCGAAAUAUACUUUUAACUUCUUAACAAAUUUAUCACCGGAACUACAAUGGCGACGACACCAAAUGUCUCUCAGUGUUCUUGGGUUUAGUGUGGCACCGGAGCUAUGGAACAAGAGCCAUGGCGACGACACCUGCGAUCCAGGGAGCAGCAGCAGACAUCUCUGGGUGUUAUUGGGUUCAAUGUGGUGCCGAAGCUAUGGAAGAAGUGUCAUGGAUGGCGACGGCACCUGCGAUCCAGGGUGCGACAACAGAUAUCUUUGGGUAUUAUUGUAUCCCUGUUGGGUCCAGUCUAUAUGUGGGCUUGGACAAAUUGGGUCGUUCGAGCCCAGAUCAAAGAAAUCAGUAAUUAAGAAAGAAAGGGCAAAAGGUGAGAAAAUAGAGAUUACAACGUGCAUAGGAAAGAGGAGAGAGAAAGAUUAGGUUUUUGAGUUUUCUGCUUGACGAUCGGUGGUCAAACGUUAUUAGUUUCGGCCCAAAUUUUAAGUGGAGAAUUCUUGCAGCAAACUUUACAAUCCUAACGGUGUUGAUCUGCAGUUUACCCUAUCUAAGGUACUUUCCUACGAUAUCUACUUUGUGAGACUUAGAAUUCUCUUACGAGGAGAUCCAUCCUACGUGAUGAAGAUAUGCUAUUCUUGAGCCAAGAUCUAUGAUCUUAAUGUUAUUCUGAUCCUCUAGUUAUUCUAGAAAAAAUAUACUGUAAACCUGUUAUCAUUAUUAUUGAUAGUGG